CAAAUUUUGAAUUCUGGUAAACAAGAUGUGCGCGCUUACUCCGUGCCGGUUUGAAUGAGAAGACUUUGCACCAUAAAACCACAAUAAUAACCUCGGGAUUUAUUAAUUUUGAAUGCAUGGUGUUGGUUGCAUCAUCCGUAUUUUCAAAUUCCCACAUUCAAAAGACCCGCCUUUGGUGAAGGCAAAGGUGUUGUGCUAUUCUUUCCGAGGGACAGAUUCCUUAUCAGCCUUUUCAGUGUAUGUGAUUCUAACUAAGUCUUAUAGAUCCGCCGCUCUGUUCGACCUAAUCAGUGAACAUAGUAUUUCUGUGAUUUUGUUCUUUAAAAAUUCAGUGAAUGGAUUAGACACCGUUUUCACCCUUUAAAAACCCGGUGACUUGAAAUAAAAUAAAUUAAAACUUGUACCGAGAAUGGAAUUUAAAUGUGAUUAACAUAUUGAA